rnacentral:lncRNA from 1 species
GGGAAAGGAAAAGUUGUUGAGUAGUCCUCGUUUGGUGUUGGUAGCUACUUCGUUUUGGUAAGUUUGUAUUAGAUUUGUAUGCUUAUUCAUGUUUUGAAUUCUAAACAUAUAUGUGUAUAUAAUGAGAAUGGUUAAUUAAGGCAAGUUUGAAAGUGAAAACAAAGGCUUGAAUGGUAAAACAUGACAAUUGUUCUUGUUUGAAUUGAAAUAUGUUAUUCUAUAGAAUGUUUGUGAUCAAGUUGAUCAUGGUAUUAUAGUAUAAAGAUGAAAAG